CUUUGCCCCCUCCCUUGCGCAGCUCCUUGUCAUGGAUGAAGCCGGCGAACAUCUGGGUGUCCAUGAAGAGCUCCAAGAACUGGCGGACUCCGCGGGAGGGGAUCUCCAGCAGUGCAGCCUGAAGCUUACUGGGCAAGAUACAGUCCUCAUCACCAAGCUUGGAAACAAGGAGUAGUUAACAGGACAGCCCAGGGCAACUCACAUCAUGCAAGAGAUGGCCUACUACUGAUGUGAAACAAGGCAACUGGCUACCUGUGUACUGUGAUUCACCUAUGCCAGGGAUGCACAACUGGCGGCCUGCAAAAUACAUUUUGAUGUUGGGGGGACGGGGGUGGGGGUAUUGGUGUCAGUCAGUGUCUCAAAUUACUGUUGAGUUAAAAUAGUAGAAUGUACAAGGUUCAAAAUAGAAAUUUGGUUGUGCAUCAGCUGUUUUUAUCUUGUUAUGUCAGUCACUGACAGUCACACAAUUAGCCUAUGUAGGCAAACAUUUUUUUUAGAUUGGGUAAGUUAGUCUAACAAGGGCCCCCAAAAGGCUAGGGCCUGUAUAAUAUCAUUCACUAAGACUACACUAUGUACUUUCACUCUGACUGCAUAUGUGGGUUUGCAGACCCGCGUGCCACUGCAGCACCUCAUGAUGAGUUCCAAUUUUUUGUGGCCUCCACCCCCAUCAAAGUUGAACAUUCCUGACCUAUGCAUUAAAAAUGGUUGUCAUAGAAACUAGCCAUCAAUAUCAGCAGCCCAAUAGGAUCUCUGAGUGAGAAAGAAGCGAAACUCCAUAGCUACUACUAUUAAAUACUCUCACUAUAUGAACUUGGAUUACAUCCAAGAUAGUCAAGCUCUGGUAUGUGUGAAAUCAUCAAGUUGCAUUAAUAUUCAACACUGUCACUUGGAACACAGACAUGCACAGACAAAGUGUUCCUCAUACCCUAUUCAGUUGUGUUUUGGAACCACACCUAUCUUUCAGGAGUUGCAAUUAAAUACACACCUGUUUGA